ACCUCCAGAUCAGUCGAAACGGUCCCUUGACAUUUGUUUGGUAGAGCCACUUAGUUUGUCUCCAGUAAUCGCGGCGUGCUGGUAGCUUUAAAAUUCCAAAGCAAAGACACAGCCCGAGGAAUGUUUUCAUUUCUAUUUUCGGGACCGGGGUCCACUUGAGGUCGUGGGGGUCUGAGCUCGUACCUGUUGCGCGUACCGAUUCGUUUCGGUCAAUAACUUUGGAUCAACCGGCACAAAAUCAUUCUCGUCCUCAUUCUCAUACUCAAAUCCCUUGAAUUCUAUGACAAUAUCACUGCCAUCGCUAUCAAAAUCCUCCAUGUUCAUUGCUACUUCUCGGUCGCCAGCUAGACG